rnacentral:rRNA from 1 species
AUACCGGAUAGUAUACGAAUAUCGCAUGAUAUUUCUAUUAAAGAAUUUCGGUUAUCGAUGGGGAUGCGUUCCAUUAGUUUGUUGGCGGGGUAACGGCCCACCAAGACUACGAUGGAUAGGGGUUCUGAGAGGAAGGUCCCCCACAUUGGAACUGAGACACGGUCCAAACUCCUACGGGAGGCAGCAUG